rnacentral:rRNA from 1 species
UACGAAGGGGGCUAGCGUUGCUCGGAAUCACUGGGCGUAAAGCGCACGUAGGCGGAUCUUUAAGUCGGGGGUGAAAUCCUGGAGCUCAACUUCAGAAUUGCCUUCGAUACUGGCUUUCUAGAGGCUGGAAGAGGUUAGUGGAAUUCCCAGUGUAGAGGUGAAAUUCGUAGAUAUUGGGAAGAACACCAGUGGCGAAGGCGGCUAACUGGUCCAGAUCUGACGCUGAGGUGCGAAGGCGUGGGGAGCAAACAGG